AUUCAUCUGAGGAGUCCCAAAUAGGACGAAAUGUGUGUCUCGGAU
rfam:Schistosoma rodhaini strain Burundi genome assembly, scaffold: SROB_scaffold0000297